rnacentral:rRNA from 1 species
UUUUCGGAGAGUUUGAUCCUGGCUCAGGACGAACGCUGGCGGCGUGCCUAAUACAUGCAAGUCGAGCGGACAGAAGGGAGCUUGCUCCCGGAUGUUAGCGGCGGACGGGUGAGUAACACGUGGGUAACCUGCCUGUAAGACUGGGAUAACUCCGGGAAACCGGAGCUAAUACCGGAUAGUUCCUUGAACCGCAUGGUUCAAGGAUGAAAGACGGUUUCGGCUGUCACUUACAGAUGGACCCGCGGCGCAUUAGCUAGUUGGUGGGGUAAUGGCUCACCAAGGCGACGAUGCGUAGCCGACCUGAGAGGGUGAUCGGCCACACUGGGACUGAGACACGGCCCAGACUCCUACGGGAGGCAGCAGUAGGGAAUCUUCCGCAAUGGACGAAAGUCUGACGGAGCAACGCCGCGUGAGUGAUGAAGGUUUUCGGAUCGUAAAGCUCUGUUGUUAGGGAAGAACAAGUGCGAGAGUAACUGCUCGCACCUUGACGGUACCUAACCAGAAAGCCACGGCUAACUACGUGCCAGCAGCCGCGGUAAUACGUAGGUGGCAAGCGUUGUCCGGAAUUAUUGGGCGUAAAGGGCUCGCAGGCGGUUUCUUAAGUCUGAUGUGAAAGCCCCCGGCUCAACCGGGGAGGGUCAUUGGAAACUGGGAAACUUGAGUGCAGAAGAGGAGAGUGGAAUUCCACGUGUAGCGGUGAAAUGCGUAGAGAUGUGGAGGAACACCAGUGGCGAAGGCGACUCUCUGGUCUGUAACUGACGCUGAGGAGCGAAAGCGUGGGGAGCGAACAGGAUUAGAUACCCUGGUAGUCCACGCCGUAAACGAUGAGUGCUAAGUGUUAGGGGGUUUCCGCCCCUUAGUGCUGCAGCUAACGCAUUAAGCACUCCGCCUGGGGAGUACGGUCGCAAGACUGAAACUCAAAGGAAUUGACGGGGGCCCGCACAAGCGGUGGAGCAUGUGGUUUAAUUCGAAGCAACGCGAAGAACCUUACCAGGUCUUGACAUCCUCUGACAACCCUAGAGAUAGGGCUUUCCCUUCGGGGACAGAGUGACAGGUGGUGCAUGGUUGUCGUCAGCUCGUGUCGUGAGAUGUUGGGUUAAGUCCCGCAACGAGCGCAACCCUUGAUCUUAGUUGCCAGCAUUCAGUUGGGCACUCUAAGGUGACUGCCGGUGACAAACCGGAGGAAGGUGGGGAUGACGUCAAAUCAUCAUGCCCCUUAUGACCUGGGCUACACACGUGCUACAAUGGACAGAACAAAGGGCUGC